rnacentral:rRNA from 1 species
UAAGGAAUAUUGGACAAUGGAGGCAACUCUGAUCCAGCCAUGCCGCGUGAAGGAAUAAGGCCCUAUGGGUUGUAAACUUCUUUUAGACGGGACAAAACCCCUUUACGUGUAAAGGGUUGAUGGUACUGUCAGAAUAAGCAUCGGCUAACUUCGUGCCAGCAGCCGCGGUAAUACGAAGGAUGCAAGCGUUAUCCGGAAUUAUUGGGUUUAAAGGGUGCGUAGGCGGACUAAGAAGUCAGUGGUGACAGCCUGCAGCUUAACUGCAGAAUUGCGAUUGAUACUGUUAGUCUUGAGUACAGUUGAGGUAGGCGGAAUGUGUCAUGUAGCGGUGAAAUGCUUAGAUAUGACACAGAACACCGAUUGCGAAGGCAGCUUGCUAAGCUGUAACUGACGCUGAGGCACG